rnacentral:rRNA from 1 species
AUUGAACGCUGGCGGCAGGCCUAACACAUGCAAGUCGAGCGAGCGGCGGACGGGUGAGUAAGGUAUGGGGACUGCCCGAUAGAGGGGGAUAACUACUGGAAACGGUUGCUAAUACCGCAUCCUGUGGGAUAAGCCAUAUGUGAUUAGCUAGUAGUUAAGGUAAUGGCUUACCUAGGCGACGAUCCCUAGCUGGUCUGAGAGGAUGAUCAGCCACAUUGGGACUGAGACACGGCCCAGACUCCUACGGAGGCAGCAGUGGGGAAUAUUGCACAAUGGGCGCAAGCCUGAUGCAGCCAUGCCGCGUGUAUGAAGAAGGCCCUAGGGUUGUAAAGUACUUUCAGUCGGGAGGCGUUACCGACAGAAGAAGCACCGGCUAACUCCGUGCCAGCAGCCGCGGUAAUUC